rfam:Phytophthora infestans T30-4 supercont1.11 genomic scaffold, whole genome shotgun sequence.
AAGUUCUCCCUUACACAGGAUCAUUUCUACAGUACCUUCUUUUCUACUUGACUUUCCUCGUAGACAAUCUCAAUAACGUAUUGGACUUCAUUCAUUGACUCGAGAUGUCGGUGGUUGCAGUGCUGGGUUCUCUUUUGAACUUGGUCUCCCCCAUUGAUGAACGACCGCUGUCGCUAUUCCAAGGCAGCGUGAGUGAGUGGAGUGAUAUGAGAAGU